UACAUAGGGUGCGAGCGUUGUCCGGAAUUAUUGGGCGUAAAGAGCUUGUAGGCGGUUUGUCGCGUCUGCUGUGAAAAUCCGGGGCUCAACCCCGGACUUGCAGUGGGUACGGGCAGACUAGAGGUAGGCAGGGGAGAGCGGAACUCCUGGUGUAGCGGUGGAAUGCGCAGAUAUCAGGAGGAACACCGGUGGCGAAGGCGGGUCUCUGGGCCGAUACUGACGCUGAGGAGCGAAAGCGUGGGGAGCAAACAGG
rnacentral:rRNA from 1 species